rnacentral:rRNA from 1 species
AAUGAACGCUGGCGGCGUGCCUAACGCAUGCAAGUCGAACGAGAAAGCGGGCUUCGGCCCGUGAGUAAAGUGGCAGACGGGUGAGUAACACGUGGGUAACCUGCCCGGAGGUGGGGGAUAGCCCUCCGAAAGGAGGGCUAAUACCGCAUGACAUCUCGAGCUCCUCGGAGCACGAGAUCAAAGUUGGCCUCUACUUGUAAGCUAACGCCACCGGAGGGGCCCGCGCCCCAUUAGCUUGAUGGUGAGGUAACGGCUCACCAUGGCGACGAUGGGUAGCCGGCCUGAGAGGGUGAUCGGCCACACUGGAACUGAGACACGGUCCAGACUCCUACGGGAGGCAGCAGUGAGGAAUUUUGCGCAAUGGGCGAAAGCCUGACGCAGCGACGCCGCGUGGAGGAAGAAGGUCUUCGGAUCGGUAAAACUCCUGUCAAGGGGGACGAAAACCCGGCGAGAUGAAUAAGCUCGUCGGUUGACGGUACCUCUGGAGGAAGCCCCGG